CACGUAGUUAGCCGGUGCUUAUCCUUCAGGUACCGUCAUGAGCCUCCGGUAUUAGCAGAAGCCUUUUCUUCCCUGACAAAAGCGGUUUACAACCCGAAGGCCUUCUUCCCGCACGCGGCAUGGCUGGAUCAGGCUUUCGCCCAUUGUCCAAAAUUCCCCA
rnacentral:rRNA from 1 species